rnacentral:lncRNA from 1 species
UCAUUCAAGGUUCUUGAUUCAAAGAAAAUUCAAAUGAAUUAGGAGGGAAAGCAUGUUAUGUGAAGCAUAAGUUACAUAUUCAUUUCAAAAAAGGCCAUUUUAUUACAAAAUCAUCAAAGUCUCACUUCAAAUUUCCAUUACAAAUCAUCCAUUUCAAUGUUCAUACAAAGUACAUCAAAAAACCUAAUUUUGACCUAGGUUGAUUUUUGGUCAAACAGUUGACCAAAGUCAACUACUGAUGCUAAAACCCUAAAAACCCUAAUUUCCCAUUUUGUAUCCACAAUCCCAUUUUCAUCCUCUAUUUUUCUUGAUCUUGGUGAUUUCAAUAGAAUUCCACUUGAUGCCAUGUUAGAACACUUCAUAGGUAAGCCUUGAUCAUGCUAUCCCUUUUGCACAUGAGUACUUACAAGAACACAAUACCAAAUAAGUGAGCCAUGGGAUCCAUUGAGUACACAUUUAAGCCACUAAAACCAAACGUUUAAAUGACAACAACUAUCAAACAAUCUAUAUAAACCAAUCAUAACUAACUUCAUUGCUAAACCUCUUUUGAUUCAAUCAUUUGGAUGAACUACUAUUUUGCUAAAAACCCUAUUAAUAUCAAUCGCAGUCAUAACAUGUUUCACUUUAAUUGAUUUAAAUUCAAACAUUCCAAGUAUCCAUGGCAUAAAUAAAAUCAGCGACAAAUUAAUUCAAUUCAAAACUUCAUUCAAAGCCUAACAUGAUUGUAUGACAACCCUACUGUUAUAUCUAGUCCACAAUAAAAACAUCACAACCUACUAACGUUUCACUGACUUUAUCAUUAACAUUAACAUAAAGUUUAUGAAUUAACUACAAUAAUCACUAACACACUAACAUCUCCUAAUUGGCUCUCAUAACCAUCAUUCACAUUCAAUAACUUGCAUAGAGAAAUUCAAUUAAAUUGCCAUGACAGACUAACAAUAGUUCAAUUUCCUGUUCUAACUCAUUUGAGUUAAUUCACCAUAAAUAACCAACAUCAGUUCACAUUUGCCUAACUGUCAAACAUAUGUAACAAACCAUUUCAUAAUAUAAAUCCUUCUAACUGAUUUUUAACUAACCUAAAACUAACUAACCUAAGCAACUAACAACUAAUAGAAUCUAAAAACUAACAGUCUAACAGGUUUUUUCACUAACUAACUUUCAUCAAUUUCCAAACUAACAUAAGUUUAAUCCAUAACUAACUUUUAAUAGAAAUUCUUCUAACCAACAACUAACUUGCACAAAUCUCAAACUAAUAAUUUAACAAACUUUUCACGAAUUUCCAUAGCUAACAAAGUGAGUUAACUUCAAUUGAAUUUCAACAUCAAUAACUUAACAAAUUUAAGCUCUAUUAAUAUUGAGUCCCUAUAAAACCAUCUUCAAUCAUCAUUCUCAUGGUUCACGCAAUCAUCACCCAAUCAUUCCCCAUAAAUCCCUCACUCUCAAUCUCAUUCACUCUUGCAAACUCUCAUCAUCAUUCUAAAUCAACAUAACCUCAUAUCUCUCAUCAAUCUCAUACUCUAUCUACAUCAACACUCACAAGAACUCAAAUACAAGAGAACAAAGAAGAAAAGGAAGAAUCGAGACAAGAAGAAAAAGAGGUUCUAAGUAAAGCAAUGAACCUGGGAAGUCAUCUUCAUCCUCAUUUGCGCAUGCAGGUGGGUUCUCUUCAUUUCGCCUUGAAUUUGUUGCAAACAUGUAUGGCUUGGUUAGAGGAACAAAAGCCAUGAGAUCAGAGGCCUUGAUUCAUUCAUUGGUGCAUUUAAUUUUAGAUUUCAGUAGCUAGGGUUCUUGAGUUUUUCUUGUCGAUUUGAUUGUUUGGUUAGGAAUUAAAUUAAAUUGAGUAUGGAUUCAUUUAGGGGAGAGUGAAGUCAGUUAAAUGAUGUAAGUUUGGAAGUGUUUCGUCCUCCUCCACCGCUGGAGGCGAUUUCUGGCGCGACGAAGAUUCUUUCUCAGACUGAGGUUAGAGGGAAUGAAAUAUUUUAUUCUGAGCAUGGAAAUGAACGUAGUUGAAGCUGAAUAUGAUCUCUCUCUCGUGGGGAUUGCAUUGGGCUUAAUCUUAUGCCCAUUGUAUUUGCUUCUUACACCUAUGUUCACUUUAAAAAAAACAUUAAUGAGUGUAUCACAACCUUGGGCUUCACAACACCAGGCCCAUUGCAUUUUCUCUUUCUGCACCAUAUUGUUGCUUCACCCCUUGUCUUUCCGUUUAUAUCUUAGUAUCUGUUUUUAGUUUUAGUUUUUUCAAUUUAUAGUUUCUCAUACAUUUUAAUCUUCUCAAAUGAUUUUUAAUGAAUGCUAAACCAUUUUAAUGCA